rnacentral:rRNA from 1 species
CCUACGGGAGGCAGCAGUGGGGAAUUUUGGACAAUGGGCGCAAGCCUGAUCCAGCCAUGCCGCGUGCAGGAUGAAGGCCUUCGGGUUGUAAACUGCUUUUGUACGGAACGAAAAGACUCUGGAUAAUACCUGGGGUCCAUGACGGUACCGUAAGAAUAAGCACCGGCUAACUACGUGC